AAUUAAAAAUUAUUAUUUUAUUUUGAAAUUUAAUUUAAUUAUUUUAUUUAAAUAAAUUUAAUUUUAUUUAGUUUAAGUAUUUUUUAAAGAUAAAAUUUUUUUUAUUAUAGUUAAUUAGUAUUGAGAAAGAAUUUUGAAAAAUUUUGAAAAUUAAUUUUUAAAAAAGUAAUAUUAAAUUUAUGUACCUUGUGUAUCAGGGUUUAUUUAAAUUAAAAUAUUAAUAUGAUAUUUUUUUCGAAUUUAAAAGACCUAAAUGUUUAUAAUUUUUAAUGUUAUAUUAUUAUUUUAAAUAAUCAUUUAGUAAUGAAAUGUUAUUCGUUUUUAAAUUUAUCUAAUUUUUUAAUAAAUAAAUUUAAUUUAUAUAUUAAAUUUUUAAAUAAAAAUUUUAAAUUUUUAUUUGAAUUUAAUAUAAAUAUUUUAAGGGAUAAGCUUUAAAAUAAAUUAUUAUAAUUUUUAUGAUAUUUUAAAUAAUAUAAUUUAGACUUAGAAAUAGUUUUAAUUUAUAAAAAUGUUUUAAUUUAUUAUUUUUAAAAAUAAAAUUUUUUUAUUUAUUUAAUUUUAUAUUAAAAUUUUUUUUAGAAUUAUUUAAUUUUAUUAAAUAUGAUAAAAUUAGUAAAUUUUAUUUUUAAAAAUAAUAAAUAAAUUAAAAGGUUAUUUAAAGGAAUUCGGCAAAAAUUUAUAUUUGCAUGUUUAACAAAAACAUCGUUUUUUGAAAAUAAUUUAAAAUUUGAUCUGCUCAGUGAAUUAAUAAUUUAAAUAGCCGCAGUAUUUUGACUGUGCAAAGGUAGCAUAAUAAUUAGUCUUUUAAUUGAAGGCUGGCAUGAAUGAUUGGACAAAAUAUAAACUGUCUUUAUUUAAAUUUAUAUUGAAUUUAAUUUUUAAGUUAAAAAGCUUAAAUAUUUUUAAAGGACGAGAAGACCCUAUAGAGUUUUAUAUAAUUUUAAUUAUAAAAUUUUAAUUAAUAUUUUUUAUUUAAAAUAAUAUUUUAUUGGGGUGAUAGAAAAAUUUAAUAAACUUUUUUAUUUUUAUUUACAUAAAUUAAUGAGUUUUUGAUCCUAAAUGUUUAGAAUAAUAGUUUAAAUUACCUUAGGGAUAACAGCGUAAUUUUUUUUAGAGUUCUUAUCGAUUUAAAAGAUUGCGACCUCGAUGUUGGAUUAAAAUUUAUUUUAGGUGUAGGUGCUUAAUAAUUAGGUCUGUUCGACCUUUAAAAUUUUACAUGAUCUGAGUUCAAACCGGUGUAAGCCAGGUUGGAUUCUAUCCUUAAUUAAUUAAAAAUAUUUAGUACGAAAGGAAUAAUAUUUUAAUUUAAAAUUUAUUUAUUUUGAUUAAUAUUAAUUUUUA
rnacentral:rRNA from 1 species